UUUCUACACUUUUUUCUUUUUCUUUUUCUCUCUCUCUCUCUCUCUCUCUCGCUUUUUCUUUUUUCUUUCUGUUUAGAAAAGAAAAGAUGAAAGGGAAGCAGCGCAAACCUUUGAGAUACGUGAGACAACAAAUCCUAGAUCGACGUUAGCUUCGACCUUUAGGUAUCUCUGGAAUAGCAGAGAACUACUUGGCCCCCGAAUUGGAUCACAACGAUCUCUCUUUUGGAAGGAACCAAGAUAGCAAUGAAGGAGAGUUCUCUCUCUCUCUCUAUCUCUCUAUCUCUCUAUUUCUCUUUCGCUCUCUCUCUCUCUCUCUCUUUCUCUCUCUUUCUCUCUCUCUCUGUCUAUCUCUUUCUCUCACUCACUAACUCGAGCUAGCAGACAAUGAGACAAUGGAGCGACGGUUGCAAGGAGCGAUAGCGCCGGAUUAAUUCCCAAUCGAUUCCAAGAGAACUCCUUUCGACUCUAUCCUUGGGGUUACCAUAUCAUCCUCGAUGGAUGAUUCGAAAGAAAGGUCUCAUCGUACACGAAAGAAAGAAAAAAAAAAAAAAGAAUAAUUCAAUUCGAUUAGUAUCAGUAAGUAGACAAAUCAUACGAGAGAAUGAGAGAAAGGGAGACAGAGAGAGAGAGAGAGAGAGAGAGAGAGAGAGAGAGAGAGAGACAAAGUUGAGUAACAGAGAUCGAAUUAUUGUUAUCAUAACCAUCUGGGGGUCUCUCUUUCGCAAGCUUAAAAGCCGACUGUCCGUUAGAUCAAAGGAGGCAACGACGUGUUCCGGAGUGCGGAAUGCACUGGUAGUAGAUUCCCCAAGCGAAUAGAUUCCGAAAUGAGCACGUUAAAGUACCCAAGGGACAUUCAGGAAUUAUGGAUCUCGUGAAGGAUGCGGUCGAUGACGUUCCUACUCGUCACACCGUAUCAAUUUUUGGUGAAAGACCGCGAAUGAAAUUUCGUGACCAGGUGGUAGGUGAGCAGGGGAAAGGGGAAGGAGAUUGCCGAGCGAUGUAGUAUGAGAAAAAGAUCGUGAUCGAUCGAUCGAUCGAAGAGAUCUGCGCAUCGAUCAUCGAUGCGUUACGAUUCCACCUUAACGAAUAUAAUUGACUGAUUGAAAAAAAAAAAAAAAAAAGAAAAAAAGAAAUGAAUCAUGGGAUAUGAUACAAAAAGAAAAAAGAAUAGGAUGGAUGAGGUAGGGGAAGGUAAAAGAAAAGGAAAAAACAAACUUGAUUGAUAUUUGUUUGACGAUUUGUUAAAUAACGUAAUCAAUUAUCUAUAUAAUUAGUUGCGUUUGAUAAUGGAUAGAUGAUUGGAUAAAUAGAAUAAUUUAUUCAGGAAGUUGAUGAGUUUCGAUAUUUAUAUCAAUGUUUUGAAACUCUUAGGAAAAUCUUCAAACCAAAUGAGCUUAUUUAUUAAUUAAAUAAAUAUAUAUAUAUAUAUAUAAAAUAUAUAUAUAUAUAAAAUAUAUAUAUAUAUAUAUAUGUACGUGACAUUUCUUGACGAUAGUAAAAAAGAUCUCGUUAGCCUUUCGUAGAAUAUCGAUGAUCCUCAUUAGGUAAUAAUCUUUUAAUUAAUGUCCGAAAGAAGAAGAAGAAGAAAAGGAAGAAUAAUAAAAAAGGAUAUUGGUUAUAUAGACGCCGCGCCCGUAUGCUGUUUAAGACAGACAUGAUUACCUUGUUUUACCGGUUACGAAGGCAGGUCAAUGUGUUCUGGUCUAGCCUGCGGACAGACGACGACGAUACCAAAGCUAAUCAACAGCAUAUGUAAAUUGCAUCUAUAAAUAAAAUAUCCAUAAUCAAUCGAUACGGGAAAGGUUGUAUGCUUUAAAAAACGAGAAGAAAAGAAAAGAAAAAAAAAAGAAAGAAAGAAUGAUCACGGUCUUGGACGAACGAGCAUUAUUCGUAAUUUUAAUAUUUAAUUUCAACGAAACUCAGGGAAAACGAGAAAAAAAAAAGAGAAGGAAAAUGAUGACAAUUUGAAAUAAAAAAUAACGCUCUAACGAAGGAAAAAAAAAGAUUUGUCGUUGACAUUCGAUCGUUCGUUCGUUCGAACGACGACUACGACGACGACGACGAAGAAGCUAUACUUAAAUUCGAUGACGUUCGCGUGUUACUUAGCGAAUUUCAAUCGCGCGUGAAAAAAAGAAAGAAGAAAAAAGAAAAAGAAAGAGAGAGAGA